AAGAUAAAUGUCUCCGAAACGGAUAUUAUAUCAGGAUUCCUUUCGAAAAUUUGUUUGAAUUCCUAUGAACUUGACAGGCGUUAUCUUACCUCUGUUCAAAUUAUGAAAGUAAAAAAUGUACUAACGACGGUAAUUUCCAAGUUAAAAAAGCAAUUACACCGAAUUGAAAGCUAACAGGGCCACGUACGGGUAGUCCAUAGAUAACCAGAACCGAUUAACAAGACUAUAUAACAAGUGUCUAGCAGUCUAGUGAAUAAUUUUGACUUCCGCAAUGCACUGUUUGAAAGCAUUUUUCCUGGUGACGGCGCUUAUUAUGACGAUCGCCAUUAAUUCCUCGAUAGCAAGAAGCAACCAUACUCUGGAUAUAAACUUUGACUUGGAUGAAAACGCAUGUGAAUGUAGGGAGGAGAAAUUCUGUUCUGUUGACGUGAAUUCCGAAGUGGAAUGCGACGAACCGGGGACGGUCUGUUGCAUACUCAAAACAAAGUAGCCUUUCUUUCUCAAGAAAAACCUGGGAAAAAUGGACCGAGACACCCACCAACAAUAUAUCUAGAGCUUAAAUAAAACUAUGAUAUUAUCAACAUGUGUAUCAAUAAAACUGUUGAAGGUUUCA